AACGAACGCUGGCGGCAGGCCUAACACAUGCAAGUCGAGCGCCCUUUCGGGGGAGCGGCGGACGGGUGAGUACCGCGUGGGAAUAUGCCCUUCUCUACGGAAUAGCCUCGGGAAACUGAGAGUAAUACCGUAUACGCCCUGUGGGGGAAAGAUUUAUCGGGGAAGGAUUAGCCCGCGUUGGAUUAGGUAGUUGGUGGGGUAAUGGCCUACCAAGCCGACGAUCCAUAGCUGGUUUGAGAGGAUGAUCAGCGACACUGGGACUGAGACACGGCCCAGACUCCUACGGGAGGCAGCAGUGGGGAAUCUUAGACAAUGGGGGCAACCCUGAUCUAGCCAUGCCGCGUGAGUGAUGAAGGCCUUAGGGUUGUAAAGCUCUUUCAGCUGGGAAGAUAAUGACGGUACCAGCAGAAGAAGCCCCGGCUAACUCCGUG
rnacentral:rRNA from 1 species